rnacentral:lncRNA from 1 species
CACUUUAAUUUUCCAGUUGAAAUAAUACAGUGAACCUCACUGCUAGUAUCAUCAAGGUCAGCAGUAAAACUGUAGUCACCACAUACUCUCAUCAAGAACAGUACAGGAGACCUCUGAUUAAGGGAAAAACAGAAGAAAGCUAUGGGUAACAAAACCCAGAACAAACACUAGGAAGCAAUCAAUAAUUACAUUCUUGAGCGAGUAAUACCUGCAAUUAUAAAAGUUUAAUGAUGGAAGAUUUAAAAAUAAAUAUUUAAGGGUCUGUUCCUUCAAAACCAUUUCAAAGUAGCAAGACAAUACUGCUUGAACUAUUUUUCCCUUAAUGAAAGGUCAUCUACAUCAGAGUCGAUGUUAAUCAACGAUCACUAGUUUGAGGUUAGGGGUAUUUAUUAUACCACUGCCCUUCAAACAUUCAUAUUCAAAUGAUUACAACAUUCCUCAACGAAAAUUGAUAAAAUGCCUAUGUCAAGUUUUGUGAAAAACAUAUACACCUUCAUUAACUACAUCAAAAUCUGGCAAGAGCCUGCAUAACUAGUAACAACACUGUAGCCUGAUGAAUACACAUCCUUGGAGAAAACACUGCUUACUCUGGCAAACAAAACCCAUCCUGCAAGCCACUCUGCUUGCUGUACUGUAAGAAGGCAGCAUUUACAUGCUAGUCAGUGAAUGUGAAGAACGGGAUUUGUUGGUUUAAGUAGUUUAAUGGGUGAAAUUCUCAUGGGGAAGGAGGAAAUGGUCACAACCUUUUUUCUUCUCUUGGUGGUAAAGAAGCUAUCACAGUUCAUAUAUAUAAACUGCAGAUAAUCUGGCAACUGUACUCACAAGUUUCAGUCCACAGACUCUUAAUAACAGACUUCAUAUAAAAACAGCCCCAUAGAUAAAUCUAGAUGACUAAACCCACUUUUAAAACAUUACUGAAUACUAAUGUAUGGGGUCAAGCCAUUAGCCGAAAUAUACACAGAAAAGCUAUUUAUAUGAUGGAAAAAUCUCAGAUUAAGAACUUGUGAUAGCUACACCCAUAAAAGUUACAGAAAACAGUAAGUUGAAAAUUAUAUUGGGAUCAAAACCAUCUGCAGCUUCUUUGACAACAUUUUUGAACAGUUCUGUAAACCAGCACAGAAAUAUUCUAUGUACUAAAUAGUUUU